rnacentral:tRNA from 1 species
GGGGAUGUAGCUCAAAUGGUAGAGCGCUCGCUUUGCAUGCGAGAGCCGCAUCUCCA